GAGGGUUCAGGAAAGGGAGCUGCUCGUAUGCUGAAUCUCUGGGUCUUUCUCCACCCAGCUGGAAAUUCUGCUGGGUAAACAUCAAAGGAUUUCCAAGUCUGACUCCUUAAUUCAGGCUUCUCCUUAUCCAAAUUCUUCUAAACAAUUGACCAAGCGCCCUCUAAUUUGUUUACACUCCACCAGGAAACAUUAGUGUCUCUACCCAUCGGUCUGUGUUACUGUGCUGGUAUCUCUGCUCAAGCAAAACUACUGUGACAUGCAGUGCUCUUCUGUAAGCUAUAUGGGAGAAGGCAUUUCUAGACAAAACAGUGGACACAUAAGGUUCCACCAGGAGAGGAAGUACAUGAAAUUCACUUCUCCACAGCUGCCUUCCAACAUCAUCUCAUAUCACCUUCCCAUUAGAAGCAUCUCCUAACAAUUGGCUAGGGAUGGUGCUUUGCCUAGACUGAGAUACUGUACUUGCAGCCUAGUCACUUCUUUCCUUUUUGCCUUCUGAAGAGGGAGAAGAAUGUUUUUAGUUUGAUUGCUUUGGAUCCUGUAUUCUGUGUCUUUUAAUUAGAUAUCUAACUAGACUGCUUAAAACUAAAGUUUCUCUGGGCUACCAUGUGAAAAUAAAGCCAUUUAAAUGUU